rnacentral:rRNA from 1 species
CCAAUAGCGUAUAUUAAAGUUGUUGCAGUUAAAAAGCUCGUAGUUGAAUUUCGGGGUUCAUACGUUGGUCGGGCUUUUUGGUCUGUACUAGCGUAAUGGAUUCCUACCUUCUGAAUAACCGGCAUGUCAUUAAUUUGGUGCGCCGGGGAAGCAGGACUGUUACCUUGAAAAAAUUAGAGUGCUUAAAGCAGGCUAUCGCCUGAAUACAUUAGCAUGGAAUAAUGAAAUAGGACGGCAUGGUUCUAUUUUGUUGGUUUCUAGGAUCACCGUAAUGAUUAAUAGGGAUAGUUGGGGGCAUUAGUAUUCAAUUGUCAGAGGUGAAAUUCUUGGAUUUAUUGAAGACUAACUUCUGCGAAAGCAUUUGCCAAGGAUGUUUUCAUUAAUCAAGAACGAAAGUUAGGGGAUCGAAGACGAUCAGAUACCGUCGUAGUCUUAACCAUAAACUAUGCCGACUAGGGAUCGGACGAUGUUAAUUUUUUAAUGACUCGUUCGGCGCCUUACG